rnacentral:rRNA from 1 species
GACGAACGCUGGCGGCGUGCUUAACACAUGCAAGUCGAACGGGCCUGUCUUCUUUUUUGGGGGUGGGUUGAGUGGCGAACGGGCGAGUAUCACGUGAGUAACCUGCCCUUCGGUCCUGGAUAACCGCUUGAAAGGGCGGCUAAUACGGGGUGGUCCGGUUGGUCCGCAUGGGCUGGUCGGGAUAGAUUCACUGUUUUUGGUGUUUCGGCGGGGGAUGGGCUCGCGGCCUAUAAGCUUGUUGGUGGGGUGAUGGCCUACCAAGGCGGUGACGGGUAGCCGGACGGGGGGUGUGGGCGGCCACACGGGGACUGAGAUACGGACCAGACUGCUGCGGGAGGCGGCAGUGGGGGGUAUUGCACGAUGGGCGGAAGCCUGAUGCAGCGACGUCGGGUGAGGGAUGGAGGCCUUCGGGAUGUUAACCUCUGUUUCCGGUGGUGAAGGCCCUGUCCGUGUGGUGGGGUUGACGGUAGCCGGGGAUGAAGCGCCGGCUAACUACGUG